rnacentral:rRNA from 1 species
UACGGAGGGUGCGAGCGUUAAUCGGAAUUACUGGGCGUAAAGCGCGCGUAGGCGGUUAAUUAAGUCAGAUGUGAAAGCCCCAGGGCUCAACCUUGGAACUGCAUUUGAAACUGGUUAGCUAGAGUUUUGUAGAGGGUGGUAGAAUUUCAGGUGUAGCGGUGAAAUGCGUAGAGAUCUGAAGGAAUACCAGUGGCGAAGGCGGCCACCUGGACAAAGACUGACGCUGAGGCGCGAAGGCGUGGGGAGCAAACGGGAUUAGAUACCCCUGUAGU